GGCGGCAGGCCUUACACAUGCAGUCGAGCGGUAGAGAGAAGCUUGCUUCUCUUGAGAGCGGCGGACGGGUGAGUAAAGCCUAGGAAUCUGCCUGGUAGUGGGGGAUAACGUUCGGAAACGGACGCUAAUACCGCAUACGUCCUACGGGAGAAAGCAGGGGACCUUCGGGCCUUGCGCUAUCAGAUGAGCCUAGGUCGGAUUAGCUAGUUGGUGAGGUAAUGGCUCACCAAGGCGACGAUCCGUAACUGGUCUGAGAGGGAUGAUCAGUCACACUGGAACUGAGACACGGUCCAGACUCCUACGGGAGGCAGCAGUGGGGAAUAUUGGACAAUGGGCGAAAGCCUGAUCCAGCCAUGCCGCGUGUGUGAAGAAGGUCUUCGGAUUGUAAAGCACUUUAAGUUGGGAGGAAGGGCAUUAACCUAAUACGUUAGUGUUUUGACGUUACCGACAGAAUAAGCACCGGCUAACUCUGUGCCAGCAGCCGCGGUAAUACAGAGGGUGCAAGCGUUAAUCGGAAUUACUGGGCGUAAAGCGUGCGUAGGUGGUUUGUUAAGUUGGAUGUGAAAUCCCCGGGCUCAACCUGGGAACUGCAUUCAAAACUGACUGACUAGAGUGUGGUAGAGGGUGGUGGAAUUUCCUGUGUAGCGGUGAAAUGCGUAGAUAUAGGAAGGAACACCAGUGGCGAAGGCGACCACCUGGACCAACACUGACACUGAGGUGCGAAAGCGUGGGGAGCAAACAGGAUUAGAUACCCUGGUAGUCCACGCCGUAAACGAUGUCAACUAGCCGUUGGAAGCCUUGAGCUUUUAGUGGCGCAGCUAACG
rnacentral:rRNA from 1 species